GGUUACUGCUAUCGGUGUUCGCCUAAGCCAUGCGAGUCAUAUGUUCGUAAGAACAUGGCGUACUGCUCAGUAACACGUGGAUAACCUGCCCUUGGGUCCGGCAUAACCCCGGGAAACUGGGGAUAAUUCCGGAUAACGCACAUAUGCUGGAAUGCUUUAUGCGUAAAAUGGAUUCGUCUGCCCAAGGAUGGGUCUGCGGCCUAUCAGGUAGUAGUGGGUGUAAUGUACCUACUAGCCUACGACGGGUACGGGUUGUGAGAGCAAGAGCCCGGAGAUGGAUUCUGAGACAUGAAUCCAGGCCCUACGGGGCGCAGCAGGCGCGAAAACUUUACAAUGCGGGAAACCGUGAUAAGGGGACACCGAGUGCCAGCAUCCUAUGCUGGCUGUCCGGGUGUGUAAAAUACACCUGUUAGCAAGGGCCGGGCAAGACCGGUGCCAGCCGCCGCGGUAACACCGGCGGCCCGAGUGGUGAUCGUGAUUAUUGGGUCUAAAGGGUCCGUAGCCGGUUUGGUCAGUCCUCCGGGAAAUCUGACAGCUUAACUGUUAGGCUUUCGGAGGAUACUGCCAGACUUGGAACCGGGAGAGGUAAGAGGUACUACAGGGGUAGGAGUGAAAUCUUGUAAUCCCUGUGGGACCACCUGUGGCGAAAGCGUCUUACCAGAACGGGUUCGACGGUGAGGGACGAAAGCUGGGGGCACGAACCGGAUUAGAUACCCGGGUAGUCCCAGCCGUAAACGAUGCUCGCUAGGUGUCAGGCAUGGCGCGACCGUGUCUGGUGCCGCAGGGAAGCCGUGAAGCGAGCCACCUGGGAAGUACGGCCGCAAGGCUGAAACUUAA
rnacentral:rRNA from 1 species